CGGACGGGUGAGUAACACGUGGAUAACCUACCUAUAAGACUGGGAUAACUUCGGGAAACCGGAGCUAAUACCGGAUAAUAUAUUGAACCGCAUGGUUCAAUAGUGAAAGACGGUUUUGCUGUCACUUGUAGAUGGAUCCGCGCCGCAUUAGCUAGUUGGUAAGGUAACGGCUUACCAAGGCAACGAUGCGUAGCCGACCUGAGAGGGUGAUCGGCCACACUGGAACUGAGACACGGUCCAG
rnacentral:rRNA from 1 species